rnacentral:rRNA from 1 species
ACGGGUGCGUAACACGUGAGCAACCUGCCUUGGGGUGGGGGAUAACCCGUGGAAACGCGGGCUAAUACCGCAUGCCCUCAUCUGGUGGAGCCACCGGAUGAGGAAAGGGGCUUAACGGCCCUGCCUUGAGAGGGGCUCGCGGCGUAUCAGCUAGCUGGUGGGGUAACGGCCUACCAGGGCAACGACGCGUAGCCGAUCUGAGAGGAUGAUCGGCCACAUUGGGACUGAGAUACGGCCCAGACUCCUACGGGAGGCAGCAGUGGGGAAUCUUGCGCAAUGGGCGAAAGCCUGACGCAGCGACGCCGCGUGGGGGAGGAAGCUUUUCGGAGUGUAAACCCCUGUCAGGAGGGAAGAAUGGUCAUCCGAGGAAAUGCGGGUGAUUUGACGGUACCUCCAAAGGAAGCACCGGCUAUCUCUGUGCCAGCAGCCGCGGUAAUACAGAGGGUGCGAGCGUUGUUCGGAAUUACUGGGCGUAAAGCGCGCGCAGGCGGCCUUUUAAGUCUACCCGUGAAAUGCCGGAGCUCAACUCCGUGCACGCCGGGGGAUACUGGAGGGCUGGAGACAGGUAGAGGCAGGCGGAAUUCCGGGUGUAGCGGUGGAAUGCGUAGAGAUCCGGAAGAACACCAGAGGCGAAGGCGGCCUGCUGGGCCUUGUCUGACGCUGAGGCGCGAAAGCGUGGGGAGCGAACAGGAUUAGAUA